rnacentral:rRNA from 1 species
CACCAGCGCCAAUGAUAGUUGGGGGCUCUCCCCCUGCGAAAGUAGGACGCUGCUAGGU